rnacentral:misc_RNA from 1 species
CACAAAGUGACUACUCAAUGGGAUGAAUCUGCAAAUGUAUAAUUUGGCAAAAAUACAACCACCAGUGUGAUCAUUAACAAUUUCUCUCUAUUGUACACACUGUCUGGGAUGCCUAUACAUGACAUACAAAUUAAUUUCCCUAAAGAAAAUGAAAAACUUGUUCUACAACCAGUGAAUUAGUGGCGCUAGACAAGCAUUGAUAAAGCUUACAGGCAAAAUAAAAGAAUUGAAGAUGUGAAGUACCCCGAUUUACGGGUAAGUAUAAAAUUCCAUGAAAAAUCAAGGCAAAGGAAUGGGGGGUUUCCAACUAGAGAAUUCAACAAAGUUUCGGUUCACAAUAGUUCGAUUGUGCAACCAGAAUGUCUCAGCUGAUUGGUGGAAUUCCCUUACUUUUCUCUGCAAUUCCCAUAAUAUUCCUUGCAUUGCAGAACAAAGCUCAGACUCUGGGGCAUAUACCCAUACACACCUAAUUUGUCUCCCCCUGGCUAUCAUCCUUUCCACAUCUUCAUCUGGUAUUGAUUCUAGGUAGUCCAAAAGUUCAGGACCUAUUCGAGUAGACGGCCAUUUGAUUGAAAAAUGGGUGUAGUCAAUCACAUUUUGAAAAGGCAACUCCGCUUGAUCUGAUAAUACAACUGGGACGCACUCCACAAAAAAGGACUCGUAAAAGCGAAGUGUCCAAGAAGACUCUCCGCGUGGAGCGAGGCAGAAUUUAGCAUUCCUCAGGUGUUGAAAAUAUUCCAUCCUUCCAAGCUUGUCAGGGCCACUAAACUUCAAUUCUGGAGAUUCCAACUGUUCACAAUGUCAUGGCGCAUAUGUUAUACCACAUAAUAAAUGUCACUGCAAAUGCAUGCAAAACUACAAGGUUACAAGCGUAUAUAGUAAUUGACUAAGCCUUACAACCCAUGAACUUCAAAGAUCAGUGUUGACUGCCUUAGGAAAACAUAAGCACAAGCAAUAUGCACAACUUACCAGUUAAAUCACUGAUUAAUGUUGCUGCCAAUGUAUUCAAAAAAGCAUGCAAUAAAGAAGUAUUAUAGAUUUAAUAUAACAUCUGUGUCGAAAAAAAUAUACGUUCAAAAAAAAUUCAAAAUAGAGAAAGCAUGAUCAUCCAUUAAGCAUGGUAGUAAUAAUUUAUAUUUGACUUGAUUUUACUUCUCAUUAGUUAGGUGAAUUUAAACAUGUUUAAUGUUUCAUUCACCAUUGUCCAUGUCCAGAUGGGGAAAUAAAGGAUGGAAAGAAAAGCUUAUUCAUAACAAAGAAUGUGUGCCUCAAUUCAAGUCCAUAUUGAUACCUCAAAUAAAUCAACCAACAUUUCAGCACACGGAGAUAAUCAUUCUGACAAUCAGGAAGUCACUCAUAGAAGAGAACACACCUUAUCUGGAUAUUGCUUUGCAAGCUCAAUUAACUUAAGACGGCCAAUUUUUCCUUGUGCACGACCUAAAUAGUUUGCCAAGUACUUCCUCUUUGAUAAUGGCAAAGGUUGAACCACAGUAGUUCCUCUUUUGGUCAUCCCAUCAUCAACAUUGCCAGGAAUAAUGAUAUCUUUCCAUGUAUUAAAAGCACUUGUGUCUUUCUUAUCAGUCCGAUCCCCCUCAGGAGUAAGAAUUAUGGAACGAUUUAUGUAUGUUGCCCAUGAUCUAAAUAAGUGAGCUCCUGCACCACUGGGGAAGACAAAUAUGUGGUCGCGGCCUCCAGAUCGUCUAAAAUAUGGCAUUUGACUUAACACCUUCACGUAAGUCUGGUUAAUCUCUUUAUCGCUAAGCCCACCCAUCAUUCGAACACAUUUAACAUAAGCGGGCACAAAGAAUAAAUCAGCUUCCUCUUUCUUUCUCGUUCUGAAUCUUGAUUUUUGAAGUAGCCUGUGUAUUUUAACCUGCGUGCCCCACUGCCCCUUAAUGCAAGAGUCGGCGGAGAUUUUUCCCUCCCUGCCGCGAAGGAGCUCUUUCAAUCCAUCAAUCUCGUAUUCCUCGUAGACGUAGAUUUUGAGAGAAAGGUAUGUCCCGUAGCCUCGCUGAGGCCAGGAGAGAGAUCCGCCGUCGGUUACAUGGACAAGGCUAUGCGAUUGAAGUGUGAGGUGGUGAGGAAGAAGGUGGCGACGGUUAGGACGAUGGCGCCGACCUGGUUGGUGAAAAAAAUGUGUAAUUUGGGUUUCUGGUAAUUUCAGUUGAAUACGCAUUUUAUGAAAAUUAAUUAGGAUAAUCUAUGGUCGUUUUUUGAGUUAGUCAUAACUUAUCCGUUAACUGACUCAGCAAAUGAUUAAUUAACAACGUUUAAAUCAGAGCAAAAUUAAAUUAAAAUGGAAUUUAAAGGGCUUAAUUAAUUAAAAAAAAUCAUUGAAGAAUUAUAUCAUUUUGUAUGAUAUGUAAUAUGUGUUACUGUUAAUGCCAGUUCAUAUCACUGCCUGGUGCCUAACUUUUUGUUUUUAGCAUCUUUCUCUAUUCUCACUCUAGUUUCAAUGUACUUACUUAUCAGAGUGGGGUAUGUUGGGUGUGGGAGUGAUUCCUGAAUAUUUGUGAAGAUGGGGCAUUUGUUGUCAUGUUGUUUUCAACUCUCUCUCAAUGAGGUCGAGGUUCCUUUGUGGGGCAAGUUAAAGUGGACUAGUCCCUUUAAGGACCAUUUUUCACUUUGGCUUAUUAGAAAAGUUUUAUAAUACCACUCUCUGUUUCGUUGCUGCGGCCCCUCUUCAUUUUCUUGAUGGGAAAAGUGCUUGUCUGGUCAGCACUAAUUUACUAUUCCACACACACCCACACCCACACAAAAAUUCCAUUUCUCUCUCUCUCUCUCU